rnacentral:misc_RNA from 1 species
CACAGACACUUUCGCGGCACCAGUAACGUGCAACUCCUACCCGGUUCCCUUAGUCUGCUUCAUCGGGUACGGUGUCUUGUCGACCUUUCCGCUUUUCUUAUCAUCGCGUGUGUCGCCAACGCUGUAGCCAUGAAGCUUGUGCGGCGUGCUCGAAAAAGCAUUCGUGAGCGUCGAAUGAAGGCGUGCAUUAAUGAUCUGAACUCGAAUUUGUCGAAGGUGGAGAUGCGCGUCUUUCGGAAGCAGAAGAAGGAGCGCGACGCGAAGCGCCAGGCCUUGGGAAUUAGUGAGCUUGUACCGAGGGAUGUACUAAAUGGCCGCAUGAAUCCUGAUCUGUACGCAGUGGAGUGCCGGCUUCACGAAGAGGCAGGCUUACCUAAGCCGCUGCCGUACCAAGGGUACAAGGAAGAUCUGUUGAGGAGUCGUGCCACCACCCACUGCGUGGGCUUUGUCGGGUUCCGGACGAUUCUGCAGGCUAUUCGAGCCCGCAAUAGGUAACAAGCAUUAAUUAUCAGUGUAGUGACAGGUUCGUUGGUUGGUGCCUCUUGGAGAAAUCUUCAGAGGUGCGUGAGGGAGUUUCGUGCUCUUCCUCCUCCUCUUAUUUGGCUCAGGGAGACUUGACGAAAGACGAC